AUGAACAUCGUAGAGCAACAUGGUGCUUGCACGUAAGUACGAAUGACGAGAAGUGAAAUAUAUCUUACGAUAAUGUUAUUUAUAGUGAAAACCUCAAAAGACAAACAUGAUAAAGUGUAGAAUUAAACCUCGUUGCGUGUGUUUUAAUCACUGUGCAAUGGAAACUUUGCUAUAUGAAGUGAAACCAAACAUUAACUUGGAGCAAUGAAUCGGAGGAGGAUGUCCCUUCUGUCCGCUUCACACGUAGAACGAAUGGCAUGACAUUGAAGGGCUCUGGAAACGCGUCGAAGCAGAUCACCAAUCCGAAGCAGCUCUUCAUUGCAGUUCUUCUCCUAAUCACCACGGAUUCUCUCAAUUCAGCAAACUAAAACUAUCAUCAAGUCUGGACCAACAAGAUGUUUGGAGUCGUCCGAUUUAAUAUGAUAUUUCAAAGUCACUACAACAAGACUCUACAUUUGGGGUCCUCUGUUUAUGGUCUUAACAACACAGCAUGAAUGAAAUAAAUCUUUUGAGUUCGUCCGUAAAAGAUUUCAUUUUUCCAGUAACAUUAUACGCUACACAGUUGUUCUUAAAGGCCUAAAAAUAUCACCUCCUUUAUAAAUUCAGGUGGAAACUUGUAAAAAUAUUAAGUUCACUGACGAGACUAAUGCGAUGUAUUUGAUACGGAAUUUUCACUGUAAUAUACGUUCAUACAUUCGUUUAGAAACAUACAUAUUAAAUAUCUUUAAAAUAAUAAUAUAAAAUUGUAUAUAAUACGAUAAACUCAAAGCACUAUAACACUACAGAGUUAGUUUAAUUUUAAUUUUUGUAUCUAAAUAAAUUAUUUUGUCCUGUAUUAAUUAACUUAAUUCAACUUUAACGGUUGAAACACAUGAGGACGUCAAAUA